rnacentral:pre_miRNA from 1 species
CAAAGUGCUCAUAGUGCAGGUAGUUGUAUUGAUGUUCUACUGUAAUAUGGGCACUUACAGU